AGAGUUUGAUCAUGGCUCAGGACAACGCUGGCGGCAUGCCUAACACAUGCAAGUCUAGGGGUAGCAAUACCACUGGCGCACGGGUGAGUAACACGUAGGUUAUCUGCCCCCAUCACAGACAUAACCCCGGGAAACCGGGGCUAAUAUCUGAUGAGGUCGCGAGAUCAAAGCUUCGGCGGAUGGGGAUGAGCCUGCGGCUGAUUAGCUAGUUGGUGAGGUAAUGGCUCACCAAGGCGACGAUCAGUAGCUGGUCUGAGAGGACGAACAGCCACACUGGAACUGAGACACGGUCCAGACUCCUACGGGAGGCAGCAGUGAGGAAUAUUGGUCAAUGGGAGCAAUCCUGAACCAGCAAUGCCGCGUGUGGGAUGACAGGGCUUCGCCUUGUAAACCACUGUCGGACGGGACGAAAGGAGGCCUCGGGCCUCUGGGACGGUACCGUCAAAGGAAGGGUCGGCUAACUACGUG
rnacentral:rRNA from 1 species